rnacentral:lncRNA from 1 species
GAAAAACAUAAUUUGAGAAUCAAAUUGAUUAUCUAAAAUAAAUAUUCGCGGAUGUAAAAGCAAUUUUGAUACACAAAUGGGUCAACUAAAGACUAAAAUAGUUGUUUGUUGAAUGGUAAAUCAAUUACAACAUGGCAUGUGCAUGUGGGUUUAUACAAUCAUCCAUCAUCUUCAACAAUGAUCCCUUGUACCUUUUUCUUUGCCACCAUGUGAAACUUUUCAGAAUCCACUUACNN